rnacentral:rRNA from 1 species
AACGAACGCUGGCGGCAUGCCUAACACAUGCAAGUCGAGCGAGAUCUUCGGGUCUAGCGGCGGACGGGUGAGUAACGCGUGGGAAUAUGCCUCUUUGUACGGAAUAGCCUCGGGAAACUGGGAGUAAUACCGUAUGUGCCCUUUGGGGGAAAGAUUUAUCGCCAAGAGAUUAGCCCGCGUUGGAUUAGGUAGUUGGUGGGGUAAUGGCCUACCAAGCCGACGAUCCAUAGCUGGUUUGAGAGGAUGAUCAGCCACACUGGGACUGAGACACGGCCCAGACUCCUACGGGAGGCAGCAGUGGGGAAUCUUAGACAAUGGGGGCAACCCUGAUCUAGCCAUGCCGCGUGAGUGAUGAAGGCCUUAGGGUUGUAAAGCUCUUUCAGCUGGGAAGAUAAUGACGGUACCAGCAGAAGAAGCCCCGGCUAACUCCGUG